rnacentral:rRNA from 1 species
AGUGAACGCUGGCGGUAGGCCUAACACAUGCAAGUCGAACGGCAGCACAGGAGAGCUUGCUCUCUGGGUGGCGAGUGGCGGACGGGUGAGGAAUACAUCGGGAUCUACUUUUUCGUGGGGGAUAACGUAGGGAAACUUACGCUAAUACCGCGUACGACCUACGGGUGAAAGCAGGGGAUCUUCGGACCUUGCGCGAUUGAAUGAGCCGAUGUCGGAUUAGCUAGUUGGCGGGGUAAAGGCCCACCAAGGCGACGAUCCGUAGCUGGUCUGAGAGGAUGAUCAGCCACACUGGAACUGAGACACGGUCCAGACUCCUACGGGAGGCAGCAGUGGGGAAUAUUGGACAAUGGGCGCAAGCCUGAUCCAGCCAUACCGCGUGGGUGAAGAAGGCCUUCGGGUUGUAAAGCCCUUUUGUUGGGAAAGAAAUCCAGCUGGUUAAUACCCGGUUGGGAUGACGGUACCCAAAGAAUAAGCACCGGCUAACUUCGUGCCAGCCGCCGCGGUAA